UAUCACACCACGUGGUGUGCGAUGUAACGCCAUCUGGGUGUCUCUAAAACAGGGGUCAAUUACACCUUUGGAGCCAACAUUAAUGACGUCACCAUAACCAGACGCUGUGCCGUCAUUCCGCUGUCGGUCCGCAGCGGACGUGACAGGUUUGAAAUGGAGGUUGAGCACUACCUUGCUCUCACUGGCGCUGACGCACACGUGGCUGUACUCUCGGUUGAAGGAUCCAACAGGAGACUCAGUGUCCGGUCAGUGGUGAUGGCUGACCUUCGCAGCGAGCUCCCUCUGCCGCUCAGUGGUGAUUUCAGAGCUGGAGCUGACCUCCUGCUCGAC